rnacentral:lncRNA from 1 species
GGGCGCUUCUACAACUCAAAUAAAAAAAAACUCAAAACAGACGCCAGAAAUUCAAUUAUAUAGAGCAUAUGCAAAAACAUUUUAGAUAAAAAAGAUGAUUUGGUGAGCUUUGGCGAAUUUUUCCGUCAAGCAGACAUAAUCUGUUUCUGGACAGCAUGUCACAACUUUUGAACUUUCUUGCAAUCGGAGGCUAAAACUUGGCACAAAACAAAAUAAAAAGGAUAAGGAGAGGUUGAUAUAGAGGUAACAACUUACAAGACUCAAAGAAAACAAAAUAAACUGAAAGAAAAC